UUCAUAAAUGAAGAAGUUGUAAACUUUAUGUGAAUUCACCACAGGACCUGACCAAACUUAAUUGCACUUAACAGAUUGAUUCCCGUACUUAUAUCCAAUACCCUGGGCAAGAUCUAGAGAUAGUAAAGUAUGUGAAACACUAGUACCAUAAAUACCCCAGAUAAGGUGCGGAAGCCAUAAUGUGGCUGUUUUUCUGCUGGCUGAGAGGAAAGGAUUGUUAUUAUUCUGAAACAUGCAGGAAAAAAAGAAGAUAUCAAGUUAAGCACUGAAUAACAGAACAAUGAUGCCAAUGAAUAUAGUAUAUGAUCUUGAC